CGAAAGGAACGUAAUACCGCAUACGUCCUACGGGAGAAAGCAGGGGACCUUCGGGCCUUGCGCUAAUAGAUGAGCCUAGGUCGGAUUAGCUAGUUGGUGAGGUAAAGGCUCACCAAGGCGACGAUCCGUAACUGGUCUGAGAGGAUGAUCAGUCACACUGGAACUGAGACACGGUCCAGACUCCUACGGGAGGCAGCAGUGGGGAAUAUUGGACAAUGGGCGAAAGCCUGAUCCAGCCAUGCCGCGUGUGUGAAGAAGGUCUUCGGAUUGUAAAGCACUUUAAGUUGGGAGGAAGGGCAGUAAAUUAAUACUUUGCUGUUUUGACGUUACCGAC
rnacentral:rRNA from 1 species